UACAGAGGUCCCAAGCGUUGUUCGGAUUCACUGGGCGUAAGGGUGCGUAGGUGGUUGGGUAAGUCUGAUGUGAAAUCUCCGGGCUCAACCCGGAAAUGGCAUUGGAUACUAUCUAGCUCGAGGAUCGGAGGGGGGACUGGAAUUCUUGGUGUAGCAGUGAAAUGCGUAGAUAUCAAGAGGAACACCAGUGGCGAAGGCGAGUCCCUGGACGAUUCCUGACACUGAGGCACGAAAGCUAGGGGAGCAAACAGG
rnacentral:rRNA from 1 species